UACGAAGGGGGCUAGCGUUGCUCGGAAUUACUGGGCUUAAAGGGUGUGUAGGCGGUGUAGCAAGUCGGGCGUGAAAUACCCCAGCUUAACUGAGGAAUUGCUUUCGAUACUGCUGCGCUUGAGUGAGACAGAGGUAAGCGGAACUUAGGGUGGAGUGGUGAAAUGCGUUGAUAUCCGAAGGAACACCGGUGGCGAAGGCGGCUUACUGGGUCUCAACUGACGCUGAGGCACGAAAGCUAGGGUAGCAAACGGG
rnacentral:rRNA from 1 species